CACAAGCGAGGAGCAUGUGGUUAAUUCGAUGAUACGCGAGGAACCUUACCUGGGCUCGAACGUAAGAUGACUGUAGGUGAAAGCUUACAUCUCUUCGGAGCAUUUUACGAGGUGCUGCAUGGUUGUCGUCAGCUCGUGCCGUGAGGUGUCGGGUUAAGUCCCAUAACGAGCGCAACCCCUACCUUUAGUUGCCAUCAGGUUAAGCUGGGGACUCUAAAGGAACUGCCUACGCAAGUAGUGAGGAAGGCGGGGAUGACGUCAAAUCAGCACGGCCCUUACGUCCAGGGCUACACACGUGCUACAAUGGCCGAUACAGAGGGCAGCUACCUGGUGACAGGAUGCAAAUCUCCAAAGUCGGUCUCAGUUCGGAUCGGAGUCUGCAACCCGACUCCGUGAAGUUGGAUUCGCUAGUAAUCGCGCAUCAGCCAUGGCGCGGUGAAUACGUUCCCGGGCCUU
rnacentral:rRNA from 1 species